GUGUCAGCAGCCGCGGUAAGACGAACCGUGCGAACGUUGUUCGGAAUCACUGGGCUUAAAGGGCGCGUAGGCGGCCUGGUCAGUCAGGGGUGAAAUCUUUCGGCUCAACCGGAAAAGUGCCUUUGAUACUGCCAGGCUUGAGGGAGAUAGGGGCGUGUGGAACUUCCAGUGGAGCGGUGAAAUGCGUUGAUAUUGGAAGGAACGCCGGUGGCGAAAGCGACACGCUGGGUCUCUUCUGACGCUGAGGCGCGAAAGCUAGGGGAGCGAACGGGAUUAGAUACCCCGGUAGUCCUAGCCCUAAACGAUGGGUACUAGGUAGUAGACUUAACAUGGGUUUACUGCCGAAGCAAAAGUGCUAAGUACCCCGCCUGGGGAGUACGCCGGCAACGGUAAAACUCAAAUGAAUUGACGGGG
rnacentral:rRNA from 1 species